rnacentral:rRNA from 1 species
CCUACGGGUGGCAGCAGUGGGGGAUAUUGCACAAUGGGGGAAACCCUGAUGCAGCGACGCCGCGUGGGUGAAGAAGUAUUUCGGUAUGUAAAGCCCUAUCAGCAGGGAAGAAAGAAGACGGUACCUGACUAAGAAGCCCCGGCUAACUACGUGCCAGCAGCCGCGGUAAUACGUAGGGGGCGAGCGUUAUCCGGAUUCACUGGGUGUAAAGGGAGCGUAGACGGCCGGGCAAGCCAGGAGUGAAAGCCCGGGGCCCAACCCCGGGACUGCUCUUGGAACUGUGCGGCUGGAGUGCGGGAGGGGCGGGCGGAAUUCCUGGUGUAGCGGUGAAAUGCGUAGAUAUCAGGAGGAACACCGGCGGCGAAGGCGGCCUGCUGGACCGCGACUGACGUUGAGGCUCGAAAGCGUGGGGAGCGAACAGGAUUAGAUACCCUGGUAGUC